GCGAGGCAAGCAAUAGACUACGGAAUGAAAGGGGAACUAUGAUCCCCGGCGAGGUCCGCGGCCCAAUAAUUCCUGCCCGGGAGAUGCCCUCCGGACUCUGCUUCCCAUUCCGUUCAUUACUGGAUUCGGAUGCAGCGAUAUACUUCGUCCUCUGCAGCGGAGGCGACACAGCCGCUCGAUCUCCACAAAGAGGAUCGUAGAUGAAGGUGGCUAUUGACGGUAAAGUUCUCGCAUUGUUGUCGCAGAGAAAUUAGGAGCUCUAGUCAUGUUCCCAUGAACCCUCAUUGUUUACCAAAAGCCGAGAGGUUGUUUGUUGGUUUGUAGGUAACCCUAGAAUAUAAUCUGCAAGAGCUUUGUUUGCUGACACCAAAUUUUUUGGGAAUAAUGUGGCUUAGCAUGCCACAAGUAUGGAGAUUGAUAAAUAUGAGAAAACAAAUGAUAACACUAGGAAAAGAAAACAUGAACAUGCAUAAAAGAGUGGAUGGAGAUGAUUCACUAUAUCAAAAGUGAUCACCAAAGAAUGGUUGCAUACUUAGUUACAAAUACCGGGUGAUAAGGACUUGGAGCCUAAUCUUAGAUUAAAAAUUGUUGCCAAAGGAUUAUGUACAGCAAUGUAAUGCUUAUCUUGAAUUUAUUUUGGAGUUUUAAGCUUGCUUCAGAUACGAUGAAACGUAGCAUUUUAUGUAGUCCAUAAAAGGGAAAUGCCACAUUGCAUCUGCACCUAUCAGUCACUGUUUCUAUAUUGUUUGAUAUACAUAAUCUCCAUUAAAGAACCAGAGAGUUAGUGUUCACUUUGUUUUUAUUUUCAAUUUCUGUAUAUAUUUAUGAAGACCAAUUUUAGAACGGUUUCGUAUGGCAACUAUAAAUAUGAAGGAAGAAGGGUUUAUAUCUUAUAUUUCAAGCAUACCUAUGCAUUAUAUAAGAUCAAAUGUAGGUUCUUCUGAUUACAUCUGUUUUUCCUUGCUAUAGUUUGUCUAAGAUUUUCUGGUUAAACCAUUUGCCACUCAGUUGCUAAUCAAGCUGCAUUCUAUAGUGAAAGAAUUAGCCCUAUUUUUCUUAAAUCAUGGAGAGAUAAAACCAUAGAGGCAUGAAUGUUGUUGGGGCAAGUCACAAUCAAUAUGUUCUUACCGUGACUGGUUCAUUUGCCUUCUUUUGGGACCACAGCUACUACUCCAUAGGAAGGGUGAUCCAUAGAGCGAAGGUAAGGCUGCUUCCUUAUAACCUGGAUGACUAUCGUUUGAUGCUUGGAAUUGCCUCUCUCUUCACUGGAGUGAGGUUAUGUUUAUUGACUCUUCUCAGAUCUUACAUUGGCUGAAAUCUCAUGCAUUGAACCCUCCCUUUUUUUAGCUGUGAUUCCGUACUAAUAAGUUACUCUACUUCAAGUUAUAUGACUAUUAGAGAGAAACUUUGUACUAAGUUAUGUACAUUGCUUUUAACUCCUAGGCAAUCCCUUCUUGUGAUAACCUCCUUGACUCAACUGUCAUGGGUUCUUUCUCAACUUUAGAUAAGUCAUGAAGAUUUGGAGAAAAACUUGUUUCAAAUCAUAGUUUUAUCACCAAGUAUCAUGAGAAUAAUUUGAUAAGCUUUAGUUGUACCCUAGCCUAACUUCCUUUGCAAGUGUGUCGUUCAUUAUAUGUAGGACUAUGCAGCUACAUCAAUUCUGUUACAUGAAGAUGGCCAUGGUAGUUGUUGGAAAUGCUUAUAUUUCUUCGAGGAAAAGAAGAGGAAAAAAGUUGACGGUGGAUCUUAUCAACACUUUUUCCUUUGCAACUGUUGUGGUUCUCUGAGUUUGCAUGUCAACUCCUCCCUUUCCGACAUCUUUGUGCAUGCAAGCAAUGCACACAGUCUCUUUUUGACUCUCCCUUUGUGACUUUGAGCAAAUAGGUAGGGUGAAGGUUCUCUUUUGAGAAUAUACCGAAAGCAGUUAUAGUCUUUAUAGACUGGGGGCCAGUUUGGCACUUUGGCUGCCCUUGAGCGUGGUUGGAAAAGACUGACACUUAAGUACGUCGGUAGAUUCAUAGAGUGCCAUGUGGAUGACAAAGGUUGUGAUAUGCUCUGACGGAUCAAAGUUCCUGUCAUAAAAUCUUUAAUGCAGGAAGGCAGAAACCUAAGGGGAUAGAGUUUUGUUUCAUGUAAAUUUUCACCAAGUCUGAGGUUCUUGGUUCAUAAUGCAUUCAGGAAGUGAUUCCUAGAUGUCGUUAGUGCCAAUUGCACUAUAUGCACGUAGGUUCGUCAUAUCGUAGUAUAUUGUUCAAUAUGGGUGAUACAUACUAGUCCAAUAGGUAAACGAUACGGGCGGUACAUCGGUAUGCCCCCAUGAAUCAUAUGUCGGUAAACUCGGUAUGGCUUAGUACACCAUAUCAACAGUUGGUCGGUACACCGGUAUGGACCGAUAAGGCGGACCAUGAUAUGCACUAUAUUAUCUCAUAUGUUGAUACAUCAAGCGGUUCUUCAAAGAUCACCAACACAAUGUUUUUCUCUCUUUUUUUAUUAUUUUAUUACAUUCAUUAUUAGAGCAAAAUCUGCACAUGCAUGUAUGAUUCUUGGGAUCAAACAUGUUGCUAAGCCUUUUAUGUUCAUAGAAGUAAUUCAAGUAUUUUUGGUCAAGAGUAUAGCUCGGGUAUCAAUUGUCCUGAUGAUUGUAAAUUAUUUGUUUUUUAUGAAUAAAUUUGAUUUCUUGCAAUCGUAAAGGGGAUUGAUUGUAAAAGGUAUUGGUUUUGACUCAUUCGGUACUGCAACAUCCAAAGAAAAAGGUAGUACGAUCAUACGGGAUUCUUGAAUAGUUUCCUCCUUGCCAAAGAAUCGAGCGUAUGGCGUAAGGGCGACCCUUAUCGGCGACCCUCCCUAGAGCUAUGUUGCUCUCUCCCUUGGCAUCGCUAGAGGGGGAGGAGAUGUCGGCCUUCGUCAGCCUUCUUUCAAAUGGCAAAAUUUUAUCACCAAGAAGGCUAAGACCAUGCAGCUACUUCAAUUCUCUUAAACGGAGAUAGCUACGGUGUUGUGGUUGUUGCAGUGCAUGCCAACUCCUCCCCUGCUGACAUCUUUGUGCAUGCAAGCAAUUCAAAGAUUCUUUGUUGGCCUGGAGAUACCUACGUUGACCUACCAUAAGUUGACGAGCCAUUGAGAAUAUUGAUCUUCCCUCUGUGGCUUGGAGCAAAUAGGUAGAGUGAAGGUUCUCGUUUGAGAAUAUACCAAAAGAACUUAUGGAAGAAGUAUCAACAACAGCAAUAAGAACUUUCUGCUCUUCAGGUAGAUUCACAUGGAUUGACUGAAAGAAAAAAGGCCAGUUGGAUGCAUCCGUGUGAUUAUACUUCUCUAUGAGCCAGGUAACAACAGAGUGUUGCUCAGUAUCGGUCUUCACCUCUGGAUUGUGGCGCCAUACCAAGAAUUCAGCAGCAACUCUCAUCUUGAGAACACAAUUUUAGUGUCUGUUUAUGUUUGACUCGUGGCCUCCUUGCUUUGUCUUCGAAAUGUACAUGUAACUAAUGGUAUGUUAUAUGGCUUGCAUGCACUGUAUGAUAUAUGUGAAAUAUCAUUGCACGUCACUUAGAGAAGGCAGAAAUAAAUGCUGAAGGUCAUAGGAAUUAUGACUUGUAUGAAAGCAGACAGAUAUAUGGAGUAGAAAAUACUAUGUUUGGAGUAGAAAAUAGGAGCUGUUUUAAGUGUUUUCUAUUAGGCAACAU